CCUACGGGCGGCAGCAGUGAGGAAUAUUGGUCAAUGGGCGCGAGCCUGAACCAGCCAAGUCGCGUGAGGGAAGACGGUCCUAUGGAUUGUAAACCUCUUUUGUCGGGGAGCAAAAGACGCCACGCGUGGCGUUCCGAGAGUACCCGACGAACAAGCAUCGGCUAACUCCGUGCCAGCAGCCGCGGUAAUACGGAGGAUGCGAGCGUUAUCCGGAUUUAUUGGGUGUAAAGGGUGCGCAGGCGGAAGAUCAAGUCAGCGGUAAAAUUGAGAGGCUCAACCUCUUCGAGCCGUUGAAACUGGUGUUCUUGAGUGAGCGAGAAGUAUGCGGAAUUCGUGGUGUAGCGGUGAAAUGCAUAGAUAUCACGCAGAACUCCGAUUGCGAAGGCAGCAUACCGGCGCUCAACUGACGCUCAUGCACGAAAGUGUGGGUAUCGAACAGGAUUAGAUACCCGAGUAGUC
rnacentral:rRNA from 1 species